rnacentral:lncRNA from 1 species
UUCCACCUGGGGAGGAGGUGGACGCUCUCUCACUUUGCACCCUCUCCUAAGGAAGGAAGAAAUAAAUGAAGGCACCAGCCAGGCCGGAGAAACUUGCAAGUCGCUGUGACUGCUUCGGAUCCAGCACACCCCACCCACCUCGGGCUGUGGACGCCACCUGCAGCAGCCCGGGGAAGACGGAGGAAGAGGCGCUGGCUGCGGAGCAGGUCCUUGGCAAAGAGCGGAAGGUGACGGGGCGCAGGGAGCGCCUGCUCUUAGGAUCCUGCCUCUCAGCUGAGGAGGGAGCAAUUCAAGUUUUAAUAAUCUCAGGCAUAUGAAUGAUGCAAACUUGCAACAGCGUUUGAAAGUGCACUUAUUUAAACUUCUUUUUCCUCUAAAUAGCUUUGCGACUGUCGACCGGUAAAUUUUCCUUUUUAUUUCAUCACAUUCAUCGUUUGCCCUCUUGCCAGCAGGGACCCCACAAUGGCGACAAAUGGGUUCUCCGGGGCAAAUGGCAAAAGAGAGGAAGUUUCCCGUCGGACUUUCCCAAGCCCCCCUCUCCCCGCCCCUUCUUGCACCUGGACCUUCUGAGGCUGUCGCACCCCUCCCCUGGGCGGGGCCGGCACUAGGGAUACUGGAUUUCUCCUACUCUUCCCGCCCCUGGAUUCUUUCAGCCCUCACCCCCUCCCAGGAAAGAGGAAGAGAAGCAGCGGUGACGAGGACAGGCGGUGGUUGCCUACCCAGGAAUCCGAGAAAAAUGAAGAAUUCAGAACCUGACUGUAAGCUCAAGACAAGAUGCAACAAAAGGAAUAAAAACUCAAAGAUCUUGGAAAAGAAUUCCAGCAACAUCAAACCAAGGAGCACGGACUUGCAGGUUGCUCAUAAAUUCCAGGACCUCUACCGCAUCCACAGGCAGGUGGAGGGCCGUCCCCAUCACCAGCUCUACCAGUGGCACCUCUACCGGCAGGAAUUGGUCCUUCUCCUCCUCCAACUCCUUUACCUCGACUAAGUGAUAUACCACAUCCACCACUAUCACCUUUGUUUGGGGACCUCCUACAAGGAUUACUUCCUGCUCUAACUUAAGAAAUAAAUGUAUAAACCUGAACUCCAUGUAUUGAUUCUUGAACUGCAUGACUUGAUUCUCCAUGAAGAGAAUCAAAUGGUCAAAGGCAAAAUUUUGACUAGAGGUUUUUGGCACCUUCUAGCCCCCAAUAGUCAUUAAUAUGCAAAUAACUGCAUAGCUGUGCACAAGUAUGGUAUAAUAUUACAGAAUACGACCGCUGACUCUUGCUUUCCUUUGUGAACUCACCAUCUUAUGUUUCUCUUUCAGUUCAGUAUCUCAGUAAUUGGAAACUCCAUAGACAAUAUCAAAUUUAUGUAGACGGCAAAGGAGAAUUAAAGUGGUGUAAAGAUAAUUGUGUUAGUUUCCUAAGGCUGCCAUAACGAUUCCCACAAGCUGGGUGGUUUAUAAAAAACAGAAAUUUCUCUCUCACAGUUGUGGAGGGCAGAAGUCCACAAUAACAGUGUAGGUAGUGCCACACUCCCUGAAGGCUCUAGGGGACAAUCUCUUUCUUGCCUUUUCCAGCUUCCAGCAUUUUUGGCAUUCCUUGGUUCAUGGAAUAUCUCUGUUCUGUCUUCACACUGCCUUCUCCCAGUGUCUGUGUAUAAACUUCCCUCUUCCAGGAGUGAAUACAUGUGGUUGCAUUUAUGACCCACCGAACUGACUAUUACAUGUUGAUCUUUUACUCUGCACCAUUAUUACAUUUGUUUAUUAGUGCUAGUAUCUUUUUGAGGAUUCUUUGGCAUACUAGAUGUAUUAGUAUCAUGUCAUCUGCAAAAAGAUUUUCCAAUUUGAAUGCCUUUUAUUUCAUGUUCUGGCCUAUCUGCUAUGGCUACAACUUCCAGUAAAAUCUUGAACUGACGAUAACUGACAUCCUUGUCUUCUUCCUGAUUUUAACGGGAAAGACUUCAGUCUUUCAGCACUGAGUAUGACAUUAGCUGUGGGUUUUUCACAUGUGCCCUUUAUUAUGUUGAAGAAGUUCCUUUCUAUUCCUUUUCUAUUGAG